rnacentral:rRNA from 1 species
GUGGGGAAUUUUGCGCAAUGGGGGCAACCCUGACGCAGCGACGCCGCGUGGAGGACGAAGUCUUUCGGGAUGUAAACUCCUGUCAGUGGGGACGAUAAUGACGGUACCCACAGAGGAAGCACCGGCUAACUCCGUGCCAGCAGCCGCGGUAAGACGGAGGGUGCAAGCGUUGUUCGGAAUUACUGGGCGUAAAGCGUAUGUAGGCGGCAAGUUAAGUUCAAUGUUAAAGCCCACGGCUCAACCGAGGAGAUGCAUUGAAUACUGGCUAGCUAGAGGGUGUUAGAGGAAGACGGAAUUCCCAGUGUAGCGGUGAAAUGCGUAGAUAUUGGGAGGAACAUCGGUAGCGAAAGCGGUCUUCUGGGACAUACCUGACGCUGAGGUACGAAAGCGUGGGGAGCAAACGGGAUUAGAAACCCUGGUAGUCC